rnacentral:rRNA from 1 species
GGUGAACGCUGGCGGCGUGCCUAACACAUGCAAGUCGAGCGGUGCAGCUUGAAGCUUCGGUGGAUAGCUGCAUAGCGGCGGAAGGGUGAGUAAUACGUAGGAACGUGCCCCUCGGAGUUGGAUAGCCACGGGAAACUGUGGAUAAACCGACAUAGACUCGAGAGAGUAAAAGCCGAAAGGCUGCCAAGGGAGCGGCCUGCGUCCCAUCAGGUAGUUGGUAGUGUAAAGGACUACCAAGCCGACGACGGGUAGCCGGUCUGAGAGGAUGGCCGGCCACAAGGGCACUGAGAGACGGGCCCUACUCCUACGGGAGGCAGCAGUGGGGGAUUUUGGACAAUGGGCGAAAGCCUGAUCCAGCCAUUCCGCGUGCAGGAUGAAGGCCCUCGGGUUGUAAACUGCUUUUGUACAGAACGAAAAGCUCUUUCUAAUACAGAGAGUCCAUGACGGUACUGUAAGAAUAAGCACCGGCUAACUACGUGCCAGCAGCCGCGGUAAGAU